rnacentral:rRNA from 1 species
UCCUGACUGACCGAUAGUGAACCAGUACCGUGAGGGAAAGGCGAAAAGAACCCCGGCGAGGGGAGUGAAAAAGAACCUGAAACCGUGUACGUACAAGCAGUGGGAGCACGCUUAGGCGUGUGACUGCGUACCUUUUGUAUAAUGGGUCAGCGACUUAUAUUCUGUAGCAAGGUUAACCGAAUAGGGGAGCCGAAGGGAAACCGAGUCUUAACUGGGCGUUAAGUUGCAGGGUAUAGACCCGAAACCCGGUGAUCUAGCCAUGGGCAGGUUGAAGGUUGGGUAACACUAACUGGAGGACCGAACCGACUAAUGUUGAAAAAUUAGCGGAUGACUUGUGGCUGGGGGUGAAAGGCCAAUCAAACCGGGAGAUAGCUGGUUCUCCCCGAAAGCUAUUUAGGUAGCGCCUCGUGAAUUCAUCUCCGGGGGUAGAGCACUGUUUCGGCAAGGGGGUCAUCCCGACUUACCAACCCGAUGCAAACUGCGAAUACCGGAGAAUGUUAUCACGGGAGACACACGGCGGGUGCUAACGUCCGUCGUGAAGAGGGAAACAACCCAGACCGCCAGCUAAGGUCCCAAAGUCAUGGUUAAGUGGGAAACGAUGUGGGAAGGCCCAGACAGCCAGGAUGUUGGCUUAGAAGCAGCCAUCAUUUAAAGAAAGCGUAAUAGCUCACUGGUCGAGUCGGCCUGCGCGGAAGAUGUAACGGGGCUAAACCAUGCACCGAAGCUGCGGCAGCGACGCUUAUGCGUUGUUGGGUAGGGGAGCGUUCUGUAAGCCUGCGAAGGUGUGCUGUGAGGCAUGCUGGAGGUAUCAGAAGUGCGAAUGCUGACAUAAGUAACGAUAAAGCGGGUGAAAAGCCCGCUCGCCGGAAGACCAAGGGUUCCUGUCCAACGUUAAUCGGGGCAGGGUGAGUCGACCCCUAAGGCGAGGCCGAAAGGCGUAGUCGAUGGGAAACAGGUUAAUAUUCCUGUACUUGGUGUUACUGCGAAGGGGGGACGGAGAAGGCUAUGUUGGCCGGGCGACGGUUGUCCCGGUUUAAGCGUGUAGGCUGGUUUUCCAGGCAAAUCCGGAAAAUCAAGGCUGAGGCGUGAUGACGAGGCACUACGGUGCUGAAGCAACAAAUGCCCUGCUUCCAGGAAAAGCCUCUAAGCAUCAGGUAACAUCAAAUCGUACCCCAAACCGACACAGGUGGUCAGGUAGAGAAUACCAAGGCGCUUGAGAGAACUCGGGUGAAGGAACUAGGCAAAAUGGUGCCGUAACUUCGGGAGAAGGCACGCUGAUAUGUAGGUGAAGUCCCUUGCGGAUGGAGCUGAAAUCAGUCGAAGAUACCAGCUGGCUGCAACUGUUUAUUAAAAACACAGCACUGUGCAAACACGAAAGUGGACGUAUACGGUGUGACGCCUGCCCGGUGCCGGAAGGUUAAUUGAUGGGGUCAGCGCAAGCGAAGCUCUUGAUCGAAGCCCCGGUAAACGGCGGCCGUAACUAUAACGGUCCUAAGGUAGCGAAAUUCCUUGUCGGGUAAGUUCCGACCUGCACGAAUGGCGUAAUGAUGGCCAGGCUGUCUCCACCCGAGACUCAGUGAAAUUGAACUCGCUGUGAAGAUGCAGUGUACCCGCGGCAAGACGGAAAGACCCCGUGAACCUUUACUAUAGCUUGACACUGAACAUUGAGCCUUGAUGUGUAGGAUAGGUGGGAGGCUUUGAAGUGUGGACGCCAGUCUGCAUGGAGCCGGCCUUGAAAUACCACCCUUUAAUGUUUGAUGUUCUAACGUGGACCCGUGAUCCGGGUUGCGGACAGUGUCUGGUGGGUAGUUUGACUGGGGCGGUCUCCUCCUAAAGAGUAACGGAGGAGCACGAAGGUUGGCUAAUCCUGGUCGGACAUCAGGAGGUUAGUGCAAUGGCAUAAGCCAGCUUGACUGCGAGCGUGACGGCGCGAGCAGGUGCGAAAGCAGGUCAUAGUGAUCCGGUGGUUCUGAAUGGAAGGGCCAUCGCUCAACGGAUAAAAGGUACUCCGGGGAUAACAGGCUGAUACCGCCCAAGAGUUCAUAUCGACGGCGGUGUUUGGCACCUCGAUGUCGGCUCAUCACAUCCUGGGGCUGAAGUAGGUCCCAAGGGUAUGGCUGUUCGCCAUUUAAAGUGGUACGCGAGCUGGGUUUAGAACGUCGUGAGACAGUUCGGUCCCUAUCUGCCGUGGGCGCUGGAGAACUGAGGGGGGCUGCUCCUAGUACGAGAGGACCGGAGUGGACGCA